UGAGUAACACGUGGAUGAUCUACCCUCUAGUGGGGAAUAACCCUGGGAAACCGGGGCUAAUACCGCAUAAGCACGAGAGUGGAAAGCAGCAAUGCGCUGGAGGAGGAGUCCGCGGCCGAUUAGCUAGUUGGCAGGGUAAAAGCCUACCAAGGCAAAGAUCGGUAGCCGGCCUGAGAGGGCACACGGCCACACUGGCACUGAAACACGGGCCAGACUCCUACGGGAGGCAGCAGUGGGGAAUCUUGCACAAUGGGGGAAACCCUGAUGCAGCGACGCCGCGUGAGCGAUGAAGCCCUUCGGGGUGUAAAGCUCUUUCGGCAGGGAAGAUGAUGACGGUACCUGCAGAAGCAGCUGCGGCUAACUACGUGCCAGCAGCCGCGGUAAUACGUAGGCAGCAAGCGUUGUUCGGAGUUACUGGGCGUAAAGGGUGUGUAGGCGGUUGUUUAAGUUUGGUGUGAAAUCUCCCGGCUCAACUGGGAGGGUGCGCCGAAUACUGAAUGACUCGAGUGCGGGAGAGGAGAGUGGAAUUCCUGGUGUAGCGGUGAAAUGCGUAGAUAUCAGGAGGAACACCGGUGGUGUAGACGGCUCUCUGGACCGUAACUGACGCUGAGACACGAAAGCGUGGGUAGCAAACAGGAUUAGAUACCCUGGUAGUCCACGCCCUAAACGAUGCAUAUUUGGUGUGGGCAGUUCAUUCUGUCCGUGCCGGAGCUAACGCGUUAAAUAUGCCGCCUGGGGAGUACAGUCGCAAGGCUGAAACUCAAAGGAAUUGACGGGGGCCC
rnacentral:rRNA from 1 species